UUUUUGUGUAAGACUAUGUGAUUUAUUAUGUUCCGCUAUGUAAUAAACACUGCAAUGGUACAUUUGAGAUUUGUCUACUUAUAUGUGCGACUGUUUCUGGGGCACAUAUGAGUCUUUUAUGCAUCCUAUUUUGUUCUUAAAAUAUGGGUGUGACAGCCAGUUGCCUAUAGAUGGGAAGGGAUAUGGGUACUAUUAGAGAUGAAUUUUUCUAUUUUUCCUAAAAAGCCAUUAAUAAGCAUGGGAUAU
rnacentral:lncRNA from 1 species